rnacentral:rRNA from 1 species
GACGGAGGAUGCAAGUGUUAUCCGGAAUCACUGGGCGUAAAGCGUCUGUAGGUGGUUUAAAAAGUCCACUGUUAAAAAUUGAAGCUUAACUUCAAAGAUGCCGUGGAAACUUUUAAACUUGAGUAUGAUAGGGGUAGAGGGAAUUUCCAGUGGAGCGGUGAAAUGCGUAGAUAUUGGAAAGACCACCAAUGGCGAAGGCACUCUACUGGGCCAUUACUGACACUGAGAGACGAAAGCGUGGGGAGCAAACAGG